UUGACGUACAAUAGACAUCUCAUGAUGAUUGCAGCUGAUGUCUGGAAUUAGUCUCAGUUUGGUGGCACCAUGUUCCUACGAUGAGCCCGGGGAUAUAGCCUGAUACCUUUUGAUCUGCAACUUCCCCCAUAGCCUCAGCAAGCUGACCCAGAUGGUGAAGGAGGACUGGAUCGCAGGUUUCCUGACCCAUCACACAGACCUUUACCACAACAUCACACUGAAACUGGAAGACUCCCUUGCAACUCAUAACCCAGGUUUGGAGGUAAUCGCAUCCCCAGCAAAUGGACCAGCUGAAGGUAUCAGCAGUGGUACCAGAAAUGGAAGAGGAGCUACGUGACAAGGUGCUCAUUAUACUCUUAAGGGUCACCACGAAGAAGAAAAGGGGCUGAAGUAUUAACGUAAGAGAGAGUAAGGCUCUACUGGUGUCCCCAAGUAUCAUGAUAAUGUAUUACAUUUAUAUUUAUUUGAUGCCUAUCAUUUGCUUACUAUAUCAGAUGAGUAAGAUCCAGAACAAAGUAGAAAUAAACACAUGUCCAGACUAGUUGUCUAAUCCAUAUUAUGUGAUUAAGUGGAUGGCAUCUUUGUAGAGUAUGAAAGGAGUUCACAAAGAGUACUCAGGGCCCAU